ACAGCUAAGGCUGUGACUUGUUCAUCAUGUCACAAAGCAGUUUGUUUCUCUCAAUUUAACUCUGCCACAUCCUCUUCAGGGCAGUGUACCACCAGAGGGUUUUUUUGACCCAUCUAAUUUGAGCAGGGGGAGGGAGGUAGAGGCUUUAUCUGUCAGUAAGAAAAAUCAGCUGCAUGUUAAGGUCUCAGAAGCUACAACAAACAGAAAUUAAUGAACCAUACAGCUGAACGCAGGGAUGGAAUCUCCUAAACUGAGAUAGUUCCCAGUUUGCACUUACAUCUGGGCCCUUAGUGAGGACUGAGAAGGAGGGGGGCUCCUGGUACAUCCCUGCAGUUCCCUGUGUGCAGGAGCUGCCUCGGAAUCAGCCCUCAGGACUGGGAUCCCCGUGGGAGCGGCUGUGAGUGCUGAAGUCCCACCCCAGAAGGAGAAUCGGAACACCAGAGCACGCUGGAACUGCUGCUGCUCCCCUCCCAGGCUCUGGGCUGAGGAGGGCUCCUCUUGAGCCUGUAAACUGUUGAGGCAUUUUAAUUCCAUCAAAGGCAAUAACACAAGUGCUGAUUCCUUCUGCUAAAGAUGGCUCAGAAAGGAGCACUUCUGGCUCUGCUCCUUUUCUUGCCAGUCAAUCUGGUUGAAGCUCACAACAGGGUGAGUGUAGAGGCUGGCCAUGAAGCUGUGCUGAAUUGCCCCAACAACUCCAAGAUGCCUUCGCUGCUGGUGACGUGGAGGAGGAAUUGCAGAAAUUGCUGCCACUUGUCCUAUAGAAGGGAUCACAAUGAGACAAGCAGGCUGAACUGCAGUGAGAGGAUCACGUGGAAAUAUUCACCUGUCAGCAACCCUGCGCUUCGUAUUUACCCUGUGGACCUCGGGGAUGAGGGAAUUUAUACCUGUGAAUUUGCUAACACUGAAGGGAAUUUUCAUUUUCUCUUUUCUCUGACUGUGAUAGUCCCUCCUACGGUGACUCUGACCCAUGACAAGAGCAGGGUGGCUGUGUGCCAGGCAUCUGCAGGAAAGCCAGCUGCUGACAUCUCCUGGAUCCCUGCAAGCAAACACAGCUCUGAGGAAGAAUUCCGUCACCCCAAUGGAACAGUGACCAGAGUGAGCUACUUUGGCUGGGCUAACAGCUCAUUUCCCUCUGUCACCUGCCUGGUCACCCACACAGCCACGAACCAGACUCUGGUCAUGGACCUGAGAUACACCUCCCAUAGGCUUCUCUACAUCCUGACAGGAGCAGCUGCAGGUGUUGUUGCUGUCACUUUAUGCUUGAUUUUCAUGUGCAGAGGUGAGUCCUUUGAAUCUGAAAUUUAUUACAAUCCCAUUGCUGACUAUGUGCAGGCACAAGGACAUGCACUUUAUUGCUGAGACUGAGGUGGGAGGCAAGGGUUGAGGAAAAUGUUCAUAUAUGCACUGUCCUUUUGGAGAAGUCAUAAUAAAAUAAGGGGCAGCAAUUUAAAAUAACUCUGGAGUUUUGAAAGAGCCAUAGGAAUUGUGAUAUUAAUGCAUUACAGACAUGUCAGAGAUUCAUCCAGGAUUAAAAGGGUUCUUUCUGAGAAUAGGACAGGCUUUGAGUUUUCAGAAUUUUUUUGUUGGUUCUGCAUUUACUGGCACAGAAUUCUAUACUAAAGAAUGACAGUUCAUAAACUAGUGACUAAACACAAACAAUCUCUCUUUCCAUGAGCAGUGAUAAGUUUUCCCUCGAGCAAGUGUAAGAAUAGGCCAAAUGUACAUAGUUUGAUAUCUUUCAGGUAAUUGUGCAUUGGGCAUAUUAGAUAGCUGAUUUGUUCCAUUUCUCAUACUAAAUGCAAAACACAGCUACUAAGAAGAAAAUCAACCCCAGUAGAAACCAGGGCACCCAGCAUGACCAAAAGUUUCAAUGAAGGGAAAAAUAAAACAAGAGCAUGUUAAAGAGCAGGAUGUAAAAAACCCCAAAACUUAAUAUAUGAGGGUAACUGUAUUUUGAAGGAAGUCUUUCAAGAGCUGGGGGCAGCUAGAGGAGAACCCCAGCUAUAACAGCUGUGUACCCUGCACCAUCAAGCCACUCUAACUUCCUGACAUCCUACUUUCAGCUUGCUGGCUACGUAAACGGGCACAGGGCCCAGCAGAACACUUCACAACUAGAGCCUGGAAGUUCCCAUCUUCACGUGCAAGAAGAACAGCAGCCAAGCCUCCUGCCUUUCCAGAGAGCACCUAUGUGAAUUACAACCCAAGAUCUGUUUAUGUAUGCUUAUAAGAGUGUAGGCACAAGUAGCCAGCUCAGCUACUAAUGAUACUCGGCUACUCAAACUUGUACUUCAACUUUUAAGCCUCAGACCUUACCCCCAAAGACCUUUGUCUUUCCUGACCUGACGAUGGUGGGGCAGAAAGGCCUGUUCUAGUAAGUUAUUUUCUCUUUCUCUAAAUAUCAGUACAGCUCUAGAGAAAGUUGGAAAUUUUAAAGAUUGAAUUAGGGAAAUACCUUAAUUUUUUUUAGAAAAUGGACUCUGAUAUAUGUGCUGCCUUUCCUCAAAACAAUAAUGGACAUAUUUCUGUGCCAGAGUAAAAGACUGCUGGUGAAAAUGUAGCACUUUUCUUUCAGUUUUGACAACUGGAUUCUCUUUAAUUCUGUGUUGGAAACUAGACAGUGACAUGGGAGACCUCAAAACACAGAAGAUCAAAGCAAUACAUGUAACAGAAAUGUAGAAAUAAGAGAGUUUUAGGAUUUUUUGGUUGUUUUGUUUUCUGGUUGCAAUGACAGAUGAUGAUCUCGUAUUUGACAUCUUUGUAUUUUUAACAUAUUUCUUUUUCAAUUAAUCUUUCUGUUUGGAUCAAUAAUUGAUGGAAAAUAAAACUAAUUUGAUAUUAUACUGGAUAUGGAAAUAAGAAACAGCAAUGGACAAUUUUAGACACUCUUUAAUGUAAAUAUGCGAAUAUUUACCUCAAGGAUUUCUGUGGUUGUUUGGGAAAAUGUUUUUUGACCAGUUUCUGAGAAGCUGAGAUCGCAUCAUGGUUUUACUGCGAAGUGUUAAGUUGUAUAAAGUACAGGUGGUGUGCUUGUUUAGAACAGAGGAAACAAAGACAACCCUAACCGCACCAUUUAUUUCUUCUCAUCUUAUGUCCCCAGGCUAAAAAACCUCCCCAGAGUGGUUGUUAACUUCAGUUUUCAUUGGUCAGGUCUGUCAGAGCUUCCAAACACUAAUGCAGCAGUAACUGAAAUGUGUGUUUUGAAGAGCCUUUUCCUGCUUGCUUCUGCAGGGUCGUCUCUGUUCCGUCAGCAUUCUUUGGUAUGAGCAUCUCCCAGUGCCUUUUAAUUGCACUUUAUCACUUCUAAAUAGACAUGAAUGUCUGCUGACAUCACUCCAGCCUUUCAUUUUAGUCAGAAAGGCAUAAAGAAUGAGUCUCUGCCUUAAGGAAAAGGACCUACAGAGGCCAUGCUGGUUUCCAGGCUUGGUGCACAAUGAAGCCUCUCCUGUGGUGUUGAAUGUCAGUGAUGGUUUGCUCUCACUCUGGUGUGCGGUAUCAUCAUACCUUCUGUAGGAAGGGAGAGGCCCUUUUCAUGUGUAAAACCUCUGGGAGAAAUAAGUGAUAGCUUGGAAGUAGUGCAAAUAGGUUUGAAAUGAUGUUAGAUAGAAAAAGUGUUUUGUAGCUAUAGUGAAAUCUGCAGCAGUGCCCUAGACCAAGGUGCUGUCGAGGGGUCAUUUGUGACUUGAAGCUUCUGAAAUAGAGGGAAGAUCUCUUGUUGCUGAAGGAACUGCCCAGUCAGGUCUAAACCUGUGUUCCUGGGCUGGUGUUUUCUCAGUGUGGUAAAUAAAUAUGGAUUGUUUUUGUGGACAGCUACAGCAAUCUGUGCCUUUUUCAGAAGCUGGAUCAUUGCAGCCACACCCAAGGAUUACAGGGCAGUUAAAAUUAAGAGAGUUAGGCUGUGGAGCAGCCUGCUUCUGGGAAUCACAGUGCAUGUGUGCUGUGAUCAUUAGGGUGUAAUGCAAUUUUUCCUUAAUUCCUUUCCCCCAAGUGAGAUGUUGAAGGGUGAGAUCUAAUAGAGACAGAAAAGAUAGAACCUAGACAGGGAGAUGAUGGUGUGUGGGGAGAAAGCUCUCUGAAGCUAUCUGUGAUAAUUUGUCCUGGCUGAAAACUAUGGUUUUUGCACUCAUAUCUUUAUUUUCACCUUUAAUGUGUAUUUGGUUGAAUUGGCCUUGCAAGUCACCUGCAAUGUGUAACAGCAGUUGUGUUAAUGUAGAAAUUCUGAGCAGACUUAGUGCUGAAAUGAGGUGCUCUGGCAAUGACAUGGGCUAUCCUGGAAUAAAAUUGGCCCUUAUGCUUUUUAGGCUUGUUGUGUAUGAUUAAUAAAAGUUUUCAGGCCAAAGAGAAUAAUGUGGCUAUGGGGGUGGUUGUAAGAAAGGCUGGGACAUCAAUAAAGCUUUUAUAGGUAGUUUCACUGUUGGUUACGACGGGUAAAGGGCAGGGUUUCAUCAUAUGUGGAGCUCCUGGCAUGGGCUUUGGUGGCUUCCUCUCUGCCUGCCAUGACCACAGCCAUGUGUGCCAUGCUUCUUGGGCUGAUGAGCUGAUCUGUUGAGUAUUUGAGAAUGAGAAAUAAAUCACUUAAAUAUUUUCUGUCAUGCUGCUUUUGUAUUGGAUAGGCAGCUUGGUGUAACCCAAAGAACAACUCAAAAUGUGUGUUUGGUGACUUAUAACAAUUUGGUCUCAAAAUAAGCAACUUGAAAGGUUUUUAUAUUUAUCAUGAUUUUUCCCCCCCAUUCAUUAUGAGUACAUUCUUGGUGACCCUAUACUCUUUAUUUGCACUGAAGGAAAAUUGAAUCAAGGCAGAUAUUUUAGACUGCCAAAAUGUGUAGGAAAAUGCUGACUGUUGAAUAAUCAUUGUGAGAGAGCUACUAAAAAGUGAUAGGAAUUGGAGUGAACUAUUUGCACAUUGUCACAAGAAAAAAAUUUAAAAAAAAGCCUGGGAGCGUGACACUGCUGUUUCAGAUUGACUAUUUAGUGAAAUGCACAGUUGACUGAAUGUCACUUGAGCUUUUUAGCACCAGAUGUGAUUAUAGAUGAAAAUGCUCCUGUUUAUUGUGUGGAUUUUCACUCACAUUGUUCAUAGGACACUCUUUGUAAUAAUGAUGAUGUCUGCUUUCUGAUUAAUCUAUGAACAAUUUGUUUUCUGGAAAUAGCAGGUGUUGUGAUGACUCUUUCUCUUCACCGAAUAUGGAAGAAAUGGUGACAAAGCAUUACAUUUAGAGACUCAUAAAUUGGAAUGUGAUUGUUCAGAUUAUGAACAAUAUUUGUUUCAAAUCACAAAUUUCAACACCAGGAUUGUAGGAAAAUUGUUUACCUUCUUCAUUUCAGACUUUGGAAAUGGAGCAGAUGUCCAAAGGGUAUUUGCCAGUUCAGUGAAGAGCUCAAUUUUCCUAAGUUUGAAGUUGCAGCUAUAAGUUUUGUCUAACCUUCCUGGCAUCAAUUUGUCUCAGCUUUUCCUCUCUGAUGAGAAAAUAAUGCUUUCCUUGGUUCUCCUCUAGUAACUGUAACACCUGUGAUGUCUUUGUGACCCGCUCUUUCUGACUUUGUGAAGUCUUUGCUAUUAAUGAUAACUUGUCAGCUCCUUGAUUUUAUGUCCAUAGUCUGUAUACACCUGUCAUGUGCUGGAGGCAAUGAAGAGCUCAGGAAUUAACGAAGUGGGACUUUUUCUACAUUUCCUAUCACCUCUCUGUUCUGCUGUAGUUUGUACUUGUACUCUUAAUGAUGCUUCUUUAAGCAAGUACCUACUUUUCUGUUUUUCCUUCCCAAUCUUUUCAUGCACUAGUUUUCUCAGUUUAUUGAUUUUCAUGUUCUCUAAGUAUUUUAUUAUCUAGUUUUAUUUCUUUCUCUUUCUGGCAUCAAAUACCAUUUUAUUCUUCAUUCGUUUGUUGCCUUUUGUAUAUGUGUAACGAGAGGUUUCAAAUAGUGACUUGUUUUUGAAUUUUUUAGUGCUUUUCACUGAACUUCUACAUAGAGGUAUACUACCACAGGUCUCCUUUAAUUUUUUUUCCCAUUGCAUUGUAGGAAAUUCAUCACUCUUGAUGAGAAACAUCUUCUGUUCUUAGACUUCUGUGAAUCUAAGCUCACUUACCAAAUCCAAAUGCAUAACAUGUAGCAUUUUAUUUGUUCUUGGCUCACAUCUGUCUAGCAGAAUCAUAGAAUUGUUAAGGUUGGAAAUAACUUCUGAGAUCAUCAAGUCCAACCAUUAACCCAGCACCAUCGUGGUCACAACUAAACUGUGCUCCCCUGGGACAGAUUUACAUGUUUUUGAACACAUCCAGAGAUGGUGAUUUCACCACUUCCCUGGGCAGCCUGCUACAAUGCCUGACCAGCUUCUCAAUGAAGAAACUUAUCUGAGUAUUUCAUACACUCUGCAGCACCCAUGAGGAAGAGGAGUGAGAAAAAUGUGAGAGGAACAGCCCUGCAAACACCAAGGUCAGUGGAGGAGUGCAGGAGGUGCUCCAGGUACCAAAGCUGGGAAUCCCCUGCAGCCCAUAGUGAGACCAUGGUGAGGCAGCUGUGCCCCAGCAGCCCAUGGGAGUCCCUGGAGGAGCAGAUUUCCACCUGCUGCUCAUAAGGAUCCCAUCCUGGAGUACACUUCUGGCAGAAGCUGUGACCCUGGAAAGGGAUCCGUGCAGGAAUGGGUUUUCUGGCAGAAAUCACACUGGAGCAGUCUGUUCCUGAAGGACUGUAUCCCAUGAAAAGGACCCACACUGGAGCCGUUUGUGAAGGACUCUACCCCAUAGUAAGGAACUUGCUGGAACAGAGGAACUGUGUGAAGAAGGAGAAGUGGAGGUGAAGAGGUAUGAACUGACCCCCAAACCCCAUUCCCCACCCCACUGCACGGCUGAGGAAUAUGAGGUAAACCUGUGAAGGGAGUGAGAGCAAAGGUGGUUUCAGUUCUGUUUAUUUAUCAUUAUCCUACUCUGUUAUUAAUUGCUAAGAAAAGAAAUCAAUUUCCCCAAGUCAAGUCUGCUUUGCCCAUGACACUAACCAGUGAUCUUCCUGUUCUUAUCUUGACUCAUGAACUUUUCCAUCAUAUUUUCUCCCCGUCUUGUGCUGAGGAGGGGGAGUGAGAGAGUGUCUGGCUGGGCACUGUCAGGUGGCAGCCAGCCAAGGUCAGUGCACCAGGCAAGGCUUAGUCACCAGCAGAGCUAUAACAGGAAAGAGGAUGCUGCAAACUUUGUAUUCUACAUUAUUAAGGCAUUUUUAUGCCUGUGGUGCCUCUCUAGGUCUUCUGACUUUAAUCUCAUCACUGUGUACUGAGCACUGAAAAUUUCAUUUCCACUCAUUCUAUUCUCUCAGCUGUCAAUAAGUACUGCUGAGCAAACAAGGCUAAGUGCUUUUGGGAUUGAUUUUUGUCUCACUUCUGCCACAGUCCAACAGCAUUUAUAUUGUCAUAUCAUAAUGUUCAUAUCUAGCUGUGCUUACAUUUUAGAUUUCCAUGUGUGCAUCUGAAAAAGAAACCAUGGACAGCCCCCCUGAAAUAAUUUCUGUACUAGAUUUAUGAUCUCUGAAGGGUAAAAUCCCCUCUUCUGUGCAAAACAUGUGGCCAUAUGCUGCAGAACAACGUGCUUAGUACAUGAAUGUCUUGUAACUCACUCCAUCUCAUGUGAGAGGAGUGUUGUGUGGAACAAACAGACGAGCAAGCCAGCUACUGAAAAGCUCUGGUCUGGCUGCUUGUCUUUUUGUGCAACUUGCUUGAAAUAUUCAAAUCAGGAAGAUUGGAAUCCAACACCACCAGUCAGUGUAUUGUUAGGGCUGCCUCCUUAAUCAGGCAAGUUAUGCCUGCAAAGCUCUGAUAUCUUCAGAACUGCCUGCCUCCAGGUCUGAAUAUCUACCAGCUACACUUGGUAUCACAUCCUUCAUCAUUGCCAUUCUUGUGUAAUCAACAGUGGCUGCCAAUUUCAUGCUGCUAUAGAUAGCAAAAAUAAAAAUGUACACCUAUAUGCAAACAUCUUGAUUCAUAGGUACAUUGCUGUGUCUGUGUGAAACUGUGAAUAUACACAGGAAAAGUUACAGGGUUUUUUCCUUGAGAAAUUAAUUUCUUAAUAAUUUCCCAUCAACAGAACAUCUCAUUAUGUAUAAAUGUUGUGAAAGACCUUAUAAGACAGAUAGACACACGAGGGAUAAAAUGAAAAGUUGCUGUGGAAACCAUAACCUAAAAUAAAUCU